AAUUUUGGACAAUGGGCGAAAGCCUGAUCCAGCCAUUCCGCGUGAGUGAAGAAGGCCUUCGGGUUGUAAAGCUCUUUCGCAAGGGAAGAAAACUUACAUUCUAAUAAAGUGUGAGGCUGACGGUACCUUGAUAAGAAGCACCGGCUAACUACGUGCCAGCAGCCGCGGUAAUACGUAGGGUGCGAGCGUUAAUCGGAAUUACUGGGCGUAAAGCGUGCGCAGGCGGUUUGGCAAGUCAGAUGUGAAAUCCCCGAGCUCAACUUGGGAACUGCGUUUGAAACUGCCAGACUAGAAUAUGUCAGAGGGGGGUAGAAUUCCACGUGUAGCAGUGAAAUGCGUAGAGAUGUGGAGGAAUACCAAUGGCGAAGGCAGCCCCCUGGGAUAAUAUUGACGCUCAUGCACGAAAGCGUGGGGAGCAAAC
rnacentral:rRNA from 1 species